UACGUAGGGGGCGAGCGUUGUCCGGAUUUAUUGGGCGUAAAGAGCUCGUAGGCGGCUUGUCGCGUCGUUCGUGAAAACCCGGGGCUCAACUCCGGGCUUGCGGGCGAUACGGGCAGGCUAGAGUUCGGUAGGGGAGACUGGAAUUCCUGGUGUAGCGGUGAAAUGCGCAGAUAUCAGGAGGAACACCGGUGGCGAAGGCGGGUCUCUGGGCCGAUACUGACGCUGAGGAGCGAAAGCGUGGGGAGCGAACAGG
rnacentral:rRNA from 1 species